rnacentral:rRNA from 1 species
CUCCUGGAAACGGGUGGUAAUGCCGGAUGCUCCGACUCCUCGCAUGGGGUGUCGGGAAAGAUUUCAUCGGUAUGGGAUGGGGUCGCGUCCUAUCAGGUAGUCGGCGGGGUAACGGCCCACCGAGCCUACGACGGGUAGCCGGCCUGAGAGGGCGACCGGCCACAUUGGGACUGAGAUACGGCCCAGACUCCUACGGGAGGCAGCAGUGGGGAAUAUUGCACAAUGGGCGCAAGCCUGAUGCAGCGACGCCGCGUGCGGGAUGACGGCCUUCGGGUUGUAAACCGCUUUUGAUCGGGAGCAAGCCUUCGGGUGAGUGUACCUUUCGAAUAAGCACCGGCUAACUACGUGCCAGCAGCCGCGGUAAUACGUAGGGUGCAAGCGUUAUCCGGAAUUAUUGGGCGUAAAGGGCUCGUAGGCGGUUCGUCGCGUCCGGUGUGAAAGUCCAUCGCUUAACGGUGGAUCUGCGCCGGGUACGGGCGGGCUGGAGUGCGGUAGGGGAGACUGGAAUUCCCGGUGUAACGGUGGAAUGUGUAGAUAUCGGGAAGAA